CAUUUUGGCUGCUAAUGUUUGCAUUCUAAAAAUGUAAUGAUCAGGCUUCGAGGCAAAACAGAUUUGUUUCUUUUCUAUUUUAAAGUUAAAAUUUGUUUGUGAAUCACCAGUUCUAUAUAAAUAGAUGUAAAUUAGUGAUAACCAAAAAUGGUAAUUAAUUUUGGUGUUUCAAGUGUAUGGCAAGAUAGCGAAGCAAAAAAAAACUACGCCGGGAAUUAAUUGAAUCGAGGAAUCAACUCAGAUCUCUGCCCAUGCAAAUACUGCUUGUAUACACUUCCACUAUCAAAAGUAAUUUUACAAACUCUGUUGGCAGCGACAUUAUGAAUCGAGUUAUGAAUAUGUGAAUUAUUUUAAAUAAAUAAAGCUAUAAUAUCUAAACAA